GACGAACGCUGGCGGCGUGCCUAAUACAUGCAAGUAGAACGCACAGUUUAUACCGUAGCUUGCUACACCAUAAACUGUGAGUUGCGAACGGGUGAGUAACGCGUAGGUAACCUGCCUGGUAGCGGGGGAUAACUAUUGGAAACGAUAGCUAAUACCGCAUAAUAUUGAUUAUUGCAUGAUAAUUGAUUGAAAGAUGCUAUUGCAUCACUACCAGAUGGACCUGCGUUGUAUUAGCUAGUAGGUGAGGUAACGGCUCACCUAGGCGACGAUACAUAGCCGACCUGAGAGGGUGAUCGGCCACACUGGGACUGAGACACGGCCCAGACUCCUACGGGAGGCAGCAGUAGGGAAUCUUCGGCAAUGGACGAAAGUCUGACCGAGCAACGCCGCGUGAGUGAAGAAGGUUUUCGGAUCGUAAAGCUCUGUUGUAAGAGAAGAACGGGUGUGAGAGUGGAAAGUUCACACUGUGACGUAUCUACCAGAAAGGACGCA
rnacentral:rRNA from 1 species